AUUGAAACCGUGUAUGCUGGGGACUAUAUAUAAAAUAUGUCUGAGCCUUCUCAUAUGUAAAACUCUGCUUCUCUCUGCUCUCAUGAUUUCUGUUACUUUUUUUCUUUUUCUCUAAUAAAAUCUUUAUGUAAUUUGCCCAAGUGAGAUUGCAGACCCCAUUCUAUCAUUGUAUUGUAUCAUUAUCAUCUUACAACAAUGUAAUCAGCAAAAGAAACCAAACAAUCAUUUUAUGCUUUUCUUCCAUGCACAACUUUUUCGGCUUCAGGUUUCCGGAUGGAUGAUUGUGGCGUAUACAUAUAAUGGUUCUCCUAGCCAAUGAGGCCGAGCAAAACAAAAUCAAUGAGGCUGAUGUUAUUCCGUUCUUCUACUUGCACAUAAAUCAAUUACAAAAUCGGACACAAUUAUUUCACAUUAGUAUGGAACCCACAAAAAGGUUUGAGUUUUCAGAUCUGCUUUUCCAUGUGAUCACGAAACCUUCUUGGAUCAUUUUGGUUAAAAGCAGACAUGAUUGGAGCAUCCCAUCCGGCAACAAAGGCCAAACUCUGAGGAGGAGGGUAGAUCAAAGGAUCAGA